GUGUCAAUUAUCGAGUAAAAUUUCGUCCGCUUAUCGAACAAAAGCUCGAUGAUAAAUUAAUGGGGGCGGGGGCGAUUCUUCAGUUCCAUCCAUCGACGUGGCUAUAAACAAUGAUAAUUUGACUCAUUUGUCGGGCGUAUAUCGCUAUGAAUUUUUGGAAUAGUUUGCACGCGUCGAAGUCGCAGAGGCUCGUCCAACACGAAUCGAAAGAAGAAGAAGAAGAAACAGAGGCAGAGGCGGAGAAGACACUUGUAUCUGCGUAUUAUAUCUGACAUUAUAUCUACAAUCUACAAAUCUACAAAUACACGAAACAAGUUUAAAGUCCAGCAACAACAACAGCAAAAAGUAAAGCCAAAAACUAAAAGAGAAUUAAAACAAAAAUUUUAAUGU